CACACACUCGCACACACAUACACACUCAGCUGCCGAUAGCCCCACGGGUUGCGAUAAGCAGCGUGGAGCCAUGCCUCAGUUAUAUGCCAAAGGGGCGCCCAUGAGUUCGGAUUGUAGGCCACAAGAUCUCCAUAGCUAUAUAGCGUAACCAGCGAUAGCUAGUGAAAUGAGAACAAUUGGAGCAUUUUUGAGAGAUAGAAGUGCAUUUUUGUAUUACAAUCGGAAUAAAGAAUGAUCUGUUCCGUUUAGUUUAACUAUUUCUUGUCAAAAAUAUUCGUGAUAUCAGAAUUAUUGCAGAUCCAAAUUAAAUAGUGAACAUUUUUUAUAUAGAUUUUCGCGAUGCUGGGUUAUCUUAAAAGAUCGUCAGAUUUCACUGUAUGGAAAAUAUUUGAAGAUUAUGUUGCAUUUGGAAAGACGGACAAAUACACUCAUUACGCCUUGCAAAUAAGAUGAAAAGUAUUUGAAGAAAAGGUUUCAGUAGUGAAAUUUUAAUUUCUGACAAUUGGUCGAUCGACUUUAUGGUAGAAAUUAUGAGUAUUUCAAUGAUCAUGGUAAAUUCACCCACAAGGGUGAAAAAUGAGUGGAUUUCGGAAGAUUAAAAUAGUAAUGGAUGUUCUCUUAAAGCAGCUCGUUUAGAUGCACAUCCUUACGGACAGCAUUGUUGAAGCCCUCCUUAUAGCGAUACCAUAUUGGGCUUUUGACAAUUGCAUCUGUUUUGACUGUUAAAUAAUUAUUUUAAAAUUA